rnacentral:rRNA from 1 species
UAGAAGGUCCUGCCUGCCCUGUGAUUAUGUAUUUAACGGCCGCGGUAUUUUGACCGUGCAAAGGUAGCGCAAUCACUUGUCCUUUAAAUUAGGACCUGUAUGAAUGGCAAGACGAGGGCUUAACUGUCUCUUUCUUAUAAUCAGUGAAAUUGAUCCCCCCGUGAAGAAGCGGGGAUAAACCCAUAAGACGAGAAGACCCUGUGGAGCUUAAAACAUAAGGAGGGAGUAUAUCAAGUUAAUUAAAGACUAGUAAUACCGGCCCUCCCCCUGUUUUUGGUUGGGGCGACCGCGGAAGAAAGCCUAUCUUCCAUGAAGAUUAAAAGUACAGACUUUUACAGACAAGAACCACCGUUCUAGUAAACAGAACAUCUGACCUCCUGAUCCGGCUAGCCGAUCAACGAACCGAGUUACCCCAGGGAUAACAGCGCAAUCCUCUUUUAAAGCCCAUAUCGACAAGAGGGUUUACGACCUCGAUGUUGGAUCAGGACAUCCUAAUGGUGCAGCCGCUAUUAAGGGCUCGU